AAGUCGUAACAAGGUUUCCGUAGGUGAACCUGCGGAAGGAUCAUUCACAAUUAUAGUCUUUUUUUUUUUUUUCUUUUUUCUUUUUUCCUUUUCUCUUUUAUUGUCUUGACAAAUUUGCAAGACAAUAAAGAAAAAAAAGAAAGAGAAGAAAAAAAAGGGAUGGUUAGCAAACCAAACCCAAAUUUGUGUGUACCGUAUAAAUCAGGUUGAUGAUGAUAUUUCGAAAGAAAAACCAUCUCUCUGAUUUAAAUUUUCUUAUAUUAAUCUAUAAUGAUUAUGAAGGGAUAGAAUAGGGAAGCUUGCUAGCGGCUGAACUAUAUCUAUUAACUCAUAAUAUUACUUGAUAUCUUUAUUGAAGAAAUUUAAAAUCUAAAAUUUAAAUAAAAACUUUCAACAAUGGAUCUCUUGGCUCUC
rnacentral:misc_RNA from 1 species